CCUUUUGAGUCUGCCUGUAUCAUCUUCACCUGCUCAAUCUGGUGCCACACAAGCGCAGCGUCCCAGGCGCUGACCUCCCAAUGGAAUAAAAUGCUUUAAAGAACAAAAGCGGGAGCCACAGCCUGCCUGUCUUCCGGCACCUGUAUACCCCACCAACAGCACCUGGCAUUUACUCUCAGGAAGUCUCCUAUCCAUGUACUGACGGAGCCAGACCCUGCUCAGCUCCCGAUGAGAGACGGGUGGUCAAGGUGAGAUGGCUGCAGCCCCCGCCCUCACUUCUGCAGCAUGCCCCCGGCUCUGCCCAGGACACUGUCCGUGAACACAUUCUUCUGCACCUUCACUCACUUCAAGCUCAGCUCAGGUUUGUAAUCUGGAAAACCGCACUUUUCCUAUUCAGAAAAUUAGUACUUCUUUUCUUUCUUUUUCUUCUUCCUUUUUUUUCCCCCUGUGCCCAAUGUGCCAAGGAACCCUGAACAGAGCAGGAAGGAGGCAAGUAUGUGAGUUUAUAAGACCCCAGGCCUUGAAAGCACUCAGGCCACAGUGAGAGCCCCUGCCCAGAGCCAAUGGAGAACAUGUUCUCAACUAACAGAUGCAGAUGCCUCGGAGAAAGGAGUGGGUGGAGGAACAGCUGGCUGCUUACCAGCAAAGGGCUACCUUGCAAUGUCCUUAGGUAUGCCCUUGUGCAGUGAAUUCUUACUUUAGCCUUCUCAGUCCAAAGACCACUCUGUAAUCAAAAGCUCAUUUCUUUGCUAGAUGUGAUGGCUCAAGCCAAUACUCUGUAGGAUAAGCCAGGAGAUGUGUUGUGAAUUCAAGGUCAGCCUGGGCUAUAUAGAGAACCACUGUGAAUUCAAGGUCAGCUUGGGCUAUACAACAAAUACCAGGCCAACCAGGGCUUUCUCAAAAAAGAAAACCCAAGUAUCUCUCUGAUGACCCAGUGCAGCUACACAGUUUCAUUUACUGAAAUCUGUCCCUUGCAAGUCCUGUAACCCAAGCUGGACAGUAAAAGGCCACUCUUUUUAAGUACGAGGCAUUCCUCCAUUGAAAAAGAGGAGGCAUCCCUGCCUGUGUGCAGGGGCUGAUAGAGUCCACCUAUACUUAUCAUGAUAUCAUGUUCUAGGUACUUUGAUUAGGGAAUGCCAGCAAGCCUGAAAAGACCAUGUGCAGACUAGACUCUGUAGGGAAGUCUGAGGGUUAGAGUGUCCCCUGUGAAGCCUGGUGAAGGGAAGAGGUAGGCACUGUCAGUUCCAAGGCCCUGAACAACAGUGGGACAAAGAAUAACCUGAGAAUCUCCCCGGCGGGUCAGAACAAUUAGGAAACAGUCAGAUGGGCCAACCUGAGCCAGGUGUGCAGGAGACAGGACAGACACCUUCGCUUUCAGUGUGCCCUCUCCCAUAGUCAGUCACAGACAUCUCCCUGCAGGUCACAGUGAGUGGCUUUCGGGAGGUUUAAUGAGGAUGGCAGUGGUGGUGGACAAGACACAAAACUGGAAUCAGGUAUGCUGACCUCACCCACACCUGGUCCCCUUACUCCUUUGCUCACUGUCUGCAGGAAGGGCAAAGAACAGACUGAACGCCAAACUCAGCCUGGGGUGGGGGGGAAGGGCAAUGCUGGUUACGAUUUAAUAAGAGCAGAAAUGGGAGGAGUGCCAGACUCUUCCCAAAUCCCCAUAUACUAGGCCAGGCUUGAGCCUAGAUAACAAAACAACUGCAUGGUUAGAAAUAGGGAAGCGAACUAACCAGUACCCGGGAGCUCUUGUCUUUAGCUGCAUAUGUAUCAAGAGAUGGCCUAGUCGGCCAUUACUGCAAAGAGAGGCCCAUUGGACUUGCAAACUUUAUAUGCCCCAGUACAGGGGAACGCCAGGGCCAAAAAGGGGGAGUGGGUGGGUAGGGGAUUGGGGGGGUGGGUAUGGGGGACCUUUGGGAUAGCAGUGAAAAUGUAAACGAGGAAAAUACCUAAUUAAAAAAAAAAAAGAAAUAGGGAAGCAGCUGAGAGCAGAGAGCUUGGUACCCCACUGCAGGCUCUGGGUUCCCGCCUCCAUGUGGCAAUUUUUAAAAAAGAAGCUUUCAGAAUAGGGUGCUACAUGGCUGAUGACUGUGGAAUCAGGCCUGAUAACAACCUGAGUUUGCUUCUUGGAAGCCAUGUAAAAAAUCCAAAUGCUGUGACACACACCUGUAACACAAUGAGAGGGAAGCGGGGACGAGAGAACCACCCAGAAGGUCACGGGCCGAGUGUCCCGGAACAUGAAGCCUUGUAGAAGCAGAAGAACCUGCUCACAGAAGAGACCUGACCACUGAAAGGUGUGUGUGUGUGUGUGUGUGUGUGUGUGUGUGUACAUGUGUGUGCACGAUAACUGCAAGCUUGCUCUCUCUCUCUCUCUCUCUCUCUCUCUCUCUCUCUGUCUGUCUCACACACACACACACACACACACACACACAAACACAACUUUUUAAGGCUGAGAUGAAGACUAGGAAGAUUUGCUGUGUACGGACACCCAAAGCUCAACUCUGAGCAGCAGAAGCCCAUAGGCCUCCACAAUCCUAUCCUGGACUAAAGACCUCCAAAGGGCAAGUUCAAAGGGACUAUGGGAUCUGAGACCUUGCUCACAUCACUUGGGGACCCUCGGGUAAAAGGCUCAGCGGAUCAUUUGAAUACCUUAAUGGUGGAGAGUGCCUAAUUACCAGCUGAUAAUUACACAACCCAUCUGCAUACAGUUAUGAUCAAACUCUUCACCUUGAAAGCCACCUGCUGUCCCUCUGUUGCUAAGAAGUACUUACUAACGGAACCCUUGCAUGUUCCUGACAAUGAAUUUCCUCUUGUCAUAGCCAUCUUGGAGGCCAGCCUGUGGCUUUUAUGAACACCUUGGCUCUCUCAUUUCAGGUCUAAAGGUGAUCCCGUCGGCUGCUCCAGUCCGACUCUGACCAAAAGUGGAGAGAGCAGAAUGAGUACACAGGAAAGUUAGCUGCACGGCACAAGAGAGGCCACUCCUGUCACUCGUCAAGACUCCAGCCAGAGCCCAGCUUGUGGGAAUGCCCACCUUCCAAACAGAAGAGCAAGACCUGACCAGCAAGGAGCGGCUGAGCUGCAUCUGACUGCAGUAAUACAGUUAUUCCCCAGGCACACUUAAGAGUCACUGUGUCAACCACCUGCAUCUUGGGCUCUGGCAACAAGGCCUGCAUGGCAAAAUAUCUUGCAGUAGGAUGUACUCGGGUUAGGGGUGAAACCACUUUGCCCUGGACUGUGCUCAGGUUAUAAGAGCUUCUAGCUACAGGUACUGACCAUGCUCAUCUUGGGAAGAGCUCCUGGUGGUGUAACACAACAACCCCCGUGCCCUCAACCCAGAGUCUCCAGCCUCUUGCCACCACUUCAGGUCACAGCAGUGAAGGGACAGCAUAGGAUUCUGAAGUACUCUCCCCACACAUGAAGCUUCAGGUGAGAGCAUCACUCAGGAAGUAGAAACAUUCACACUGCAGUGAAGAGGCCACCUUCCUGGGAACACCUGACAGCAUGGGAGCAGGAACCCCUCUGUUUUCUCAUCACCUUCACUUGGACUAAGGCUACCUUUGUAGGCAACUCCCAAUCAGAUGUGUCAGACCUCCUUUUAUUUUCGGUAUGACUAAUCAUUUUUCUAUCUUCAUUCCAUGCUGCCUUAAGACAAGACAGAGUCUGAGGCUAGGGUCUGCUAAUGCUGCCCUACUACACACUUUUGUGAAAUCUGUGACAGAAGCAAAGGGAACAGGGAUUUGUAAUGUUCAGAUAGAGGGGACACAGCCAGACAGAAGUACAGUACAAAGAGACAGAUGUGAGCAAACAUCUUUGAUUCCAAUAAUGAACUCUCUAAGUGGACUGCUUAUUCUGAGCAGAUGAUGAUGAGGAUGAGGAGGAGGAGGAGGAGGAUCUGCUAGGGGAUAAACUGGGGUGCACCCAGGGUUUCAGGGCGUCGACUCCUUGAAUACACCUGUGCAAGUACCAGGAUAAACAUCAGGCAUAGACUCUCAGAGAAGUCCCCACAGACAGCCAUGCAUCCGCAAACCCCUCACAUACAAGGGUAGCGGAGGAGGCUGUAUAGGCAUUGAGCUCUCUCCCUCCUAUUAUCUAUCAGGAAGAGAUCCAACUGUUCUUCCAGACUCAUCCCACCCAGCCUCCAGCCUCCAGCCUCCAGCCUCCAGACAGUAUUUCCCUUGCAGCACUGUGGCAGCAGCAGCUUCUGGAAUCAGUCAUCUACAGGGUUGGUGCGUGGCUCCCAUCAGUCUCUCUACAGAGCAUGGAGCUGCUUGGCAGUGCAGUGGCCCACCUCAAAAGGCAUGGCCAGGGAGUCAUCUUCUCACUCCAGACCUUCUCUGCAACAAAGCCGAUGAAUAUAAGCCGUACACAUCCUGGCCUCUGCCCUCUGCUUCCUUUCAUUGGAUAACCUGUUUUUCUUCAGAGAAUGAUCAGAGGGCAGAGCAGACCCAAAUGUGUGUGUGAACUCAGAUACCAGGGACUUUAUUAAGAGAUCGCACAGUGAGACUUUUUACAAGGCAUGUUUCUGACCCCCACUCUGAGAAAAGCAACAGGGUUACACUCAGGUGGCUCUGCAAAGUGACCUUAGCUCAUAGGGCCUCUGUGAGGGUACCAGUGACUUUCCUGGUGAGCUGCUUGGAGUCUCACUCGGCAACAACAAACAGUGACAGCCAUUCUUUUGCUGUCACAUCGUGAGUCUUCUCUACUUUCUUCAAGCUCCAUAAAGGCACUGUAACUCUCCUUGACAAACCCGCUGUAGCUCAGUGAUAAAGUCCGAGCUUAGCAUCCACAACGCCCUGGGUUCAGUCCCUAAUACCAACCAAAACCACACAUGGGACAGGGACACCUGGCUUUAGGGUAUGUGUUGUCUGUCUGUCUGUCUGUCACUGGAAACUGUAAUAACCCUGUAGUCAUGGCCACUUGCCCUUCAGUUGUCUCUGCUUUAGUGGAGAGACCUUCUUUAUAAGAUUGGAUCCCACUGUAUUUCUCUGCAUUCUUCUGGGAAAUUUCUGCACAGCUGACCCUUAACCUGAGUAUCUAUCCCUCCUCCACAGAGCUUCACCAGGUUCCCCACUGCGUCUUGUCCAAAAGAAACCAGAGUCAAGGCCACAAGAGAGGAAGCCAAGCCCAGCAAGCAGCUUAGGGUCUUCCUGCUGUUUGUAAAGCUAGACCAUCUUACCCCCCCCCCCCAGACAGCCAAGGCUCUCCUGGAGAGCUACAUGCAGGGACACACACACACACACACACACACACACACAGUGCUUCCCUUCUGGAUGCAGGCCAUGGCUGUGCUCAUCUCUGAGACAAAGCCCUCUGCUGCUGGUACAAUUUCUAGGACCACAAAAAAAAGGGAGGAAGUGGCCAGACACCAACUGACCACACCAGAUUGGUGUGGAGGGCUGAGCCGGCUACCUUCCAGAGUAGGUGUGCCUGUGGGCAGCUGGCCUACUGUAGAUGCCUGUGGACAGCUAGCCCUGAGAACAAAUGGGGGCAAGAAAGAUCAGACUAGGACCCACUGUCCCUUGGUGGGGCUCUACCAAGCCAAGUACCAAACAAACCCUUAUCUAGGGCCUGCUGCUGCUGCUGCUGAAAACCUAUCCUGCCAAGGCAAUCCUUCUGGGCAGACAUCUCACCAUGUCCCUAAAGCCAGGCCUGUCGGUGUCACACUCUGAAGUGCCGAAGGACGGGGUAGAGGGCAGAAGACCUUGGGCUUCUUUGUACAUCCUUCCAAAGGGAAGGUAUCAGACUUAUGCAAGAUAUCAGCAAGACACACAGGACAAAUCCCUAAAGCCAGGCAGGCUGUGUGUUUUGAGUGAGUGGGCGGCCUUUGACGACCCUCUGUGAAAGCACACGCACAGUCCUGAACCCAGGAACUACUGCUGAUAUUUUUUUUUGCUGUGUAAAAACACAGAUGUAGGUAGGUAUCAACAGAAAUGGGCAGCCUGCACAAUGUAGUGCAGAGGCUAAGGGCAUGGAGACAGGCGAGUGGCGGGACACCUGUUACAAGGGUCAAAUAAUCAUUGCCAGGACAAACAUGGCAUCAUGAACAGCAAUUUCCAAAAAGCACUUACUGUUGAUCCACAUGGGGAAAAAUAAAGCCGGCAGGGAGAGAAUAACACGUAAGGUAAGCUACUGGAAAUUAGACUGGAGUCAGCUCAGAAUCACAGUGACACACAGCAAUAGGGUAUCUCUGAGAAAGUGUGCUUCCCCUCCCCCCAAACUGAGGAGGUGCUGUCCCUGUAAGUACUCCAAAGACAAAGUAAAGUUUUAGAGAAAGACAGAAGCCCGGGGCCAGGAAAACAGCUGGCAGACACAGACAGGCCGACAUACACUGCCCUGAACUUCCAACUUUUUGACAUUUACCAAAGUGCAGCUUGAGUUAUUCCCAGGAAUGCUAGGAAGGCAUUCUACCCAAAAAGGGGGGUGGGGUGGGUGGAGACAUUCAUUUUCUAACCCCAUGCGUCCCUAAAACACACUCAUGACACACUAAAAACAGGAAUUCCACAUUAUGGGAGCCUACAUAUACUUCUGCUCAGAUUUGUGCCCCAGAAAUUGUAAAAUGUAGAGUGUCUUGUCCAGCAUUCUAAACUCUCAUUUCCGAGAAUGUGCAUAUGUGUGUGUCUGUCAGCAGAUGGUAGGCAGAGCAGGUACUUCAGAUGGCUUAUGAAAGACCUCCGAUCUUAACCAGAAUUACAUUUCUGAAGGAAAAAAAAGGCUCCUGCAGGCAAUGUGGGUGGCAGGUCUGCAGAAGCAGCAUCCGAUGUUACUAACUGGAGGACAAUGGAGUGACGCUCACCUCACCCAACCUAAGCAGGCUGGGGACAGGGGUCCUAAUCCAGGAAGGCCAAAGGGCUUGUCUGCCACUAGGCUUCGGAAUUUGCUCCAGGACACUGUUAACAAGACUGUAGGAGAAUAAGAAGGUGGCAGGUAACAGGGGCAGAUAAAUAGGCAAGAGAAGAGAGGCCAGUCUGUCCCACACAUGUUCCUCCUGCAGUUCCUCCCAACUAGACGAUUUAAUUACAGACUCAGCUUUACACACUGCCCUGUGGUAAACAACCAGGAAACACAACUCUGUCCUACUCUCUAAUUAAAGCAACCCUGUGGUGGGGGAGAUGGCGUUCUGAAUUUUAGGGUUUCCUUGUUCCUCAGUUCUGAGUUGGGAGUCUAGGAACUAGGGGUGGGGGGAGGCAGAGUUCAGGCCUUUUCAGGGACAGUCCUUCCAUGUCCAGUUAGAAGCUGGACCCUUGAGGUGAGGUCGGGUGUGUGGAACAACACCACCCCUCCGGCCUGGAGCCAUUAUGACCACCACUGAUCAUUGUCUUCUGAGUGUGGUAGAGCCUAGGGUGUAGGGAGCUGGGUCAGUGUGAGUCGGAGCGCAAACACUGCUAGCAUCUCAGGCCCAUCCAACUCGCUGUAAUCUCCAUCUGGGAACUAGUCGACAGCAGUGUGAAACCCUGGUGGACACUUGGCUCUCUGCAGUUGUCCCCCUCAGGCAGGGACAGAGAGCAUCAGUGAUGGAUGGUAUUCUGCCCAUGGGAAGAGAAAAGAGAACCUGUAAACAAGUCACUACACGAUUGUGCCCUGGAGGCUGGUCACACACACACACACACACACACACACACACACACACACACACACACACAACUCAAGAGAGGACUCCCAAGAGCCUAGACUGCUAGGAGCAUCCCUUGUGGGUCUCAGAAACACACAUGGGCAGUUACACUAUGAAGAGGAAACUGUCCAUUCUUGGUCCCCUGGGGCCCUUGCAAAUGAUCCAAGGAGGAAGAACUAUGGCAGCUGAACCACGGUUUCCUCUCAGCAUCCGGAGUUUGGCCCAGCAGAAUGAUGUGCAGCAAGUAGAGCAAGCGUAAGUCUCACACAGACCCAGACGUGAUAAAGGUGAUGGGGAAGAGGGAGAAGCUCCACCUCCUAUGAGGUCACCCACUCAGGCUUCCACAUCUGGUCUUAAACAUCUUCCUCCUCCUGUUCUCCUCCCACCUCUUUGGUCAGAGUUGCUGAGCAACAGCAACCAAGAGAAACAAACUCCCUUUCUUCGCUCUUCUUCCUCUGUCCACCCUGGAAAGUCUGGGAUUCCCCAGGUCCUAACCCAGGCCAUGAACUCUCUGGCCGCACGGCCACAGUGGAUGACCUCAUCCAGCCCAUGGCAUCUUCCCAACCUUCUGUGGACGGAAUGUUCAGCUCUAAGCUCCCUCAAGCUUACCUUUACCCUGUUACCUCCUACAUAUCUGCAGAAGGCUCCCAACAUCCCAGCCGGCUGACCCUUGUGCAGUCCCGUCCUCCAGUGCCCUGAGAACAGCCACUCAAGUCGUCCCACAUCUGAGCUCCCACCCGCCCUUCAGUCUUGAGAGCAAGAGUCUGACCAACCAUCCUGCCCACUAAAGCUCUCGAGGAGUGUUCUCAGUUCCCCAGCCCCGGACACCUCACAACAGAGAAUCGCCUGAAGUACAAUGUGGAGUGCGCCAGACCUGCGAGCUGAUGCCAGGGCCGUCCCCCUCAGCUUGCUGCCGGCUUCUUUUCCUCCCCUUCCAGCCUGACCUCCACCAAGAAAGCAGAGCAAGCCCUGGACCCCCUCUCUAUGCUCUCGUCAUCCGAUCCCAAAAAGCAAAGCCAGCGACUGACAAUGUUCUUUCUCACCCUUCCCUUUUCUCGACAGGUACGUUGGUUUGGAGUUUGUUUUUAAUACUGUGUGUUUGAUAAUAUUCAACCUACUGUUUGUUAAUUUGUCUUGCAUCUUAUUUAAAUAUUUGCAUGCAUGCACACGUUUUCACAUGUGUGUACACAUAUGUGUCUGUUUGCAGCACACAACUUACAUACAAAGGGCAGAAGACAACUUUAUGGAGGCAGCUCUCCCUUUACUUUUCUACAUGUUCAGUAGACUGAAGUCAGGUCACCAGGACGGCAUGGCAAGCAUCUUUACCCACUGAGCCAUCUUAAUAGCUGUCUUAGUUUGAGUU